GUGACAGAAGAGAGUGAGCACACAUGAUAUUUUCAUGUAUGAUGAUGUUCCAUGCUUGAAGUUAUGUGUGCUCACCCUCUAUCUGUCAC
rfam:Lupinus angustifolius cultivar Tanjil chromosome LG14, whole genome shotgun sequence.